rnacentral:rRNA from 1 species
UUCCGGAGAGGGAGCCUGAGAAACGGCUACCACAUCCAAGGAAGGCAGCAGGCGCGCAAAUUACCCAAUCCAGACAUUGGGAGGUAGUGACGAGAAAUACUGGGGGCGCUCCUAGUGAGUGCCGUCCGGAAUGAACGUAACACAAAAAAUUCGAUGAGGAUCUACUGGAGGGCAAGUCUGGUGCCAGCAGCCGCGGUAAUUCCAGCUCCAGUAGUGUAUAUCAAUAUUGUUGCGCUUAAAACGCUCGUAGUUGGAUUUGGCCGCUUCAACAGACUGGUGAAAUUGUGCUGGUGGAAUGUCCGCGAAGCACUAGGCCUCAAAGUCAGUGUUAGUGGGCAGCUGAAGCGGUUUUAUCGCACUGGUUUGAGCUGACGACUUUAUUGUAGUCGGUUCAAAGCCGGUGGAGUGUGCCUUGAAUAAAACAUGGUGCUCAAAGCAAGCAAGUGUACGCUCGAGUGUAAUAGCAUGGAACGAAUAGCCUACGACCGGGGCCCUCCAAUCAAUCAUUUGGGGGGUGUUGGACAGUCAGUGUUGGUUGUGUCGACGGUCUCAACGGUUAACAGGGACACCUGAGGGCACUAGUACUCUGUGGCGAGAGGUGAAAUUCUUAGACCCGCAGAAGACUGACUACUGCGAAAGCAUUUGCCAAGAGUGUUUUCAUUAAUCAAGAACGAAGGUCAGAGGAUCGAAGACGAUCAGAUACCGUCCUAGUUUUGACAGCAAACUAUGCCGGCAUAGGUUUGGCGCGGCCGAUCACCGGUAAUGUGUGUUUGGGCCAUGUCAGACCUUAGGGGAAACCUAGCUUUCGGGCUGCUGGGAGAAUAUCGCUGCAAGGCUGAAAUUUAAAGAAAUUGACGGAGAGGCACCACCAGGAGUGGAGCCUGCGGCUUAAUUUGACUCAACACGGGGAAACUCACCAGGUCCAGACAUUGGUAGGAUUGACAGACUGGUAGAUCUUUCAUGAUUCAGUGAAUGGUGGUGCAUGGCCGUUUUUAGUUGGUGGAGUGAUCUGUCAGGUCUAUUCCGGUAACGAGCGAGACCACGGCCUUGGAGUUGGCUUGAAAACACGUCAGUGUUUUCACMUAGCAGCCUAUCUCAAGGGACUAUUGGCGCUUACAAAGCCAGGGGAAGCGUGGCAAUAACAGGUCUGUGAUGCCCUUCGAUGUCCUGGGCUGCACGCGCGCUACAAUGGCAGCAGUAGAGAGCCCUCUACUAGAUUGAUUUUGGUAGGUUUGCUGGCCAGAGAUGGUGCGGCUAAACUGCAAAUGGCUGUCGUGAUAGGGAUUGAGCCUUGUAAUUUUUGCUCAUGAAAGAGGAAUUCCUCGUAAGCACGAGUCAUCAGCUCGUGUUGAAUACGUCUCUGCCUCUUGUACACACCGCCCGUCGCUACUACCGAUUGAAUUGUGUUUAAAGCUGGCUGG